GAUGAACGCUGGCGGUAUGCUUAACACAUGCAAGUCGAACGGACUCUUCGGAGUUAGUGGCGGACGGGUGAGUAACGCGUGAGAAUCUGGCUUUGGGUUCGGGACAACCACUGGAAACGGUGGCUAAUACCGGAUGUGCCGAGAGGUAAAAGAGAAAUUGCCUGAAGAUGAGCUCGCGUCUGAUUAGCUAGUUGGUGAGGUAAAGGCUCACCAAGGCAGCGAUCAGUAGCUGGUCUGAGAGGAUGACCAGCCACACUGGGACUGAGACACGGCCCAGACUCCUACGGGAGGCAGCAGUGGGGAAUUUUCCGCAAUGGGCGAAAGCCUGACGGAGCAAUACCGCGUGAUGGAAGAAGGCUCUUGGUGUGUAAACCUCUUUUCUUAGGGAAGAACAAAAUGACGGUACCUAAGGAAUCAGCAUCGGCUAACUCCGUG
rnacentral:rRNA from 1 species